rnacentral:rRNA from 1 species
GACGAACGCUGGCGGCGUGCUUAGCACAUGCAAGUCGAACGGAAAGGCCCUGCUUUUGUGGGGUGCUCGAGUGGCGAACGGGUGAGUAACACGUGAGUAACCUGCCCUUGACUUUGGGAUAACUUCAGGAAACUGGGGCUAAUACCGGAUAGGAGCUCCUGCUGCAUGGUGGGGGUUGGAAAGUUUCGGCGGUUGGGGAUGGACUCGCGGCUUAUCAGCUUGUUUGUGGGGUAGUGGCUUACCAAGGCUUUGACGGGUAGCCGGCCUGAGAGGGUGACCGGCCACAUUGGGACUGAGAGACGGCCCAGACGCCUACGGGAGGAAGCAGUGGGGAAUAUUGCACAAUGGGCGGAAGCCUGAUGCAGAAACGCCGCGUGCGGGAUGACGGCCUUCGGGUUGUAAACCGCUGUCGCCUGUGACGAAGCGUGAGUGACGGUAAUGGGUGAAGAAGCACCGGCUAACUACGUG